GUUCCUGCAAUGAGAGGACACACAAGCGGUCGGUUACUCUCAUGUAAUCUGAGUGGAUACUUGGCGAGCAGAUAUGAGGGAUUUGCAGGGGGCCGGACUGAAACCCACAUUUAUACAAGGACAUCUUGGCAAUAAAACACGUUCCUUGACAUUUUACAAAGGGACACAAUUACUAAGCUAUUUCUCGCUUCUCCCGUUUAGACAAUUAACAGAGAAAAAGCCAAAAGAAAGAACCGCGCUUGGUUGGAGAACCGCAGGGGGGAGGACUGCUUUUCAGUGAUGUAACUCUUUCAGCGCUGCACUCCCGAGCUGGUCCUCCAUCCAGACCAAACACUUGCUUGUUCCUGCUCUGGGCCUUUCUCUACACCCACAUUUGACCGGUCCAACUGGCAUUCCGUUGCCAUGGCAAAGGGGUCGAGCCGCAGAAACAGCAAGCGACAGCACGGCUCCCAGGUCAAUAGGACAGAUGGCCAUAAGCCGGACGCAGCGAUGCAGGCCCCAGCGCAUGUGACCACGACGACAACAAACUAGGGCACGGAAAUGAGAGGAGAGAAAUGUGUCAGCGCCCCAGGGAGCACACGCCCCGAGCUUUUCUUGAGAGACCAAUGACUCUCGGCUCUUUCAUCUCAAUUAUGAAGUAAAAGAGAUAAAAGUUAUUCAAUGCUU